AAAGAUUCAAUGUUGUCAACAUACUGAGGGCAAAACCAUAUAAGUUACCUGCGCACAUAGUUAUUUAGUGGAGUGAAAGGUGCUGGACCGAAUGUUGCCGAGCGGCAUUUCAUAGCCAUUGAACAUUAAGUGCAAGCUGCGCUUCACCCAAAGAGCCCGGAAUACUAUCAAGUGUGUAAUCCAGGAGCAUGGACAAACAAGUGAACGAACCAGUUGUGCCUCAAGAUGCAAAGACAGCAGUCACCGCAUGCCCAACACGGAGGUUCAAAGACAAGAAUAAACCAGAAUCUGCACCAAGUGACAGACAGCACGAUGCUAAAGAAAUGGGCAACCAGACUUCAACUCCAAAGUGACGACGCAUGCCACUACGUACUGUGAUAUGACAGCAUUGCUCAAUAAUCCCACGACGGCCCUGCCCAGGUGACCUUCAAUAGAGUAAUUCACACAACACUUGUUUUCUUUCAAAGUGUAUUUUCACUGAUGACUUUUCAUCAACACUGUACUUUCAGGGUUGAGUCAUGAAAUAAAAUGACAAUGGACAAAAAAA